rnacentral:misc_RNA from 1 species
GAUGAAGAACGUAGCGAAAUGCGAUAAGUAAUGUGAAUUGCAGAAUUCAGUGAAUCAUCGAAUCUUUGAACGCACAUUGCGCCCCUUGGUAUUCCGAGGGGCAUGCCUGUUCGAGCGUCAUUAUAACCCCUCAAGCUCAGCUUGGUGUUGGGGCCUGCUGCACUGGCAGCCCUUAAAAUCAGUGGCGGUGCCAUCUGGCUCUAAGCGUAGUAAUUCUUCUCGCUAUGGAGUCCUGGUGGAUGCUUGCCAUCAACCCCCAAUUUUUCUAUGGUUGACCUCGGAUCAGGUAGGGAUACCCGCUGAACUUAAGCAUAUCAAUAAGCGGAGGA